AGGCCAUAGAGUACCCUAUCGCCUCAAUGUCGCCUUUCACCUUAAUAACAUUAGGCAAAACAAAUAAAUAAGAUCUCAUCCCAUGAAAGAAAUAAAUAAGAUCUCAUAUCUACUUACUUUUUUAGCGGAAAUUUUACAUUUCAAUUUAAGCAAUGUGGUUUAUAGUGCACAAAUUCUUUAGUUACUGCACCAAAAAGGGACUUUCUUGACUUCAUCUGCCAAAAUGUACUAAUUUCUCUUGUUCAG
rnacentral:misc_RNA from 1 species